rnacentral:lncRNA from 2 species
GAGGCACCGAUCACUGCUCCGUCGUCACCUGCGAGGCCCACCUUGGCCACAGGCUCUGGAGGCCAGUGCCU